ACGUAGGAGGCAAGCGUUAUCCGGAUUUACUGGGCGUAAAGCGCAUGAGGGGGGUUUUGUAAGUUGGAUGGGAAAGCUCCGGGCUUAAUGGGGAGAGGCCGUUCAAAACUACAAGACUUGAGAUUGGUAGAGGAAAAUGGAAUUCCGGGUGUAGUGGUGAAAUGCGUAGAUAUCCGGAGGAACACCAGUGGCGAAAGCGGUUUUCUGGACCAAUUCUGACACUCAGAUGCGAAAGCUAAGGUAGCAAACGG
rnacentral:rRNA from 1 species